rnacentral:rRNA from 1 species
GCUCAGCGCUGAAUCUCUAUGCUGUAAUGGUAUAGCGAACUGUAGCGUAUAGCGUUUUACAUUAUAUCUUGAAUAGAAUCUUAAGUUCUCAUUGACUUGAGUUCCAUAGAAGGUGAUAGACCUGUUAAGAUUUUUUAUUCUUGGUAUUUGUUGAAUGCUUUGAGUCGGGUUGUUUGGAAACACAGCCCAAAGUAGGUGGUAAACUUCACCUAAAGCUAAAUAUAUGUAUGAAUCCGAUAGCAAACAAGUACCGUGAGGGAAAGUUGAAAAGAACUCUGAAGAGAGAGUUAAAUAGUACGUGAAACUGAAUAAGUGGAAGCGUAUAGAGUUGUCGAAAGAUGGUAAUAAUUAGUUGUAAAGUAGUGUAACAGUUUGYAAAAUGUUUCCGUAUGGUUCAUUUURUGRAUGURGUUUGCUGCUUUGCGAUGCACUUGUUGCCAUUGUGCUGAUACAAUUGAUYGAGACUUUGGAAAUAAUAUUAGAGGGCAUUCAUUUAUUUGGAUGUAUCCUGGUAUUAUGGAUAAAGUAUUUGGUUAAUUGCAAAUCUAGAGUAUAAAGGAKGAUGUAAGUAUGGUAGUGUAUUAGAGUUAACGCAUGCGUUGGCUUUUUUACAUUGCUAUAUCUUAUAUUUAACGAUAUGCUCUUAUAUCAGUAUAAAAGACAAUCACCUAUAUGUCCCGUCUUGAAACACGGACCAAGGAGUUUAUCGUAUGUGCGAGUCAUUAAGUGUUCAAAACUUAUUGGCGUAAUGAAAGUAAAGUAUUCUUUAUGAAUAUGAUAUAUGAUUAUUCUUUCUUCGGAAAGGGUAAGCAGUAUAGUCCCAUCCAAUUUGUUUACAAAUGGGUGGAGAUAGAGCAUAUGCGAUGAGACCCGAAAGAUGGUGAACUAUGCCUGAGCAGGAUGAAGUCAGAGGAAACUCUGAUGGAAGUCCGAAGCGGUUCUGACGUGCAAAUCGAU